rnacentral:tRNA from 5 species
GGGUGUAACUCAAUGGUAGAGUUCCAGCUUCCCAAGCUGGCUACGUGGGUUCGAUUCCCAUCACCC